CUCAACCUGGGAAUGGCAUUCGAUACUGUCCAGCUAGAGUCUGGUAGAGGGAAGUGGAAUUUCCGGUGUAGCGGUGAAAUGCGUAGAUAUCGGAAGGAACACCAGUGGCGAAGGCGACUUCCUGGACCAAGACUGACGCUGAGGUGCGAAAGCGUGGGUAGCAAACAGGAUUAGAUACCCUGGUAGUCCACGCCGUAAACGAUGAGAACUAGCCGUUGGACCCAUUUAAGGGUUUAGUGGCGCAGCUAACGCAAUAAGUUCUCCGCCUGGGGAGUACGGCCGCAAGGCUAAAACUCAAAGGAAUUGGCGGGGGCCCGCACAAGCGGUGGAGCAUGUGGUUUAAUUCGAUGCAACGCGAAGAACCUUACCUGCCCUUGACAUCCUCGGAACUUGGUAGAGAUACCUUGGUGCCUUCGGGAGCCG
rnacentral:rRNA from 1 species